rnacentral:rRNA from 1 species
GUAGGUGGCAAGCGUUGUCCGGAAUUAUCGGGCGUAAAGCGCGCGCAGGCGGGUCCUUUAAGUCUGAUGUGAAAGCCCACGGGCUCAACCGUGGAGGGUCAUUGGAAACUGGGGGACUUGAGUACAGAAGAGGAAAGCGGAAUUCCAAGUGUAGCGGUGAAAUGCGUAGAGAUUUGGAGGAACACCAGUGGCGAAGGCGGCUUUCUGGUCUGUAACUGACGCUGAGGCGCGAAAGCGUGGGGAGCAAACAGGAUUAGAUACCCUGGUAGUCCACGCCGUAAACGAUGAGUGCUAAGUGUUAGGGGGUUUCCGCCCCUUAGUGCUGCAGCUAACGCAUUAAGCACUCCGCCUGGGGAGUACGGCCGCAAAGGCUG